UACGUAGGUGGCAAGCGUUGUCCGGAAUUAUUGGGCGUAAAGCGCGCGCAGGCGGUCCUUUAAGUCUGAUGUGAAAGCCCACGGCUCAACUGUGGAGGGUCAUUGGAAACUGGGGGACUUGAGUGCAGAAGAGGAAAGCGGAAUUCCACGUGUAGCGGUGAAAUGCGUAGAGAUGUGGAGGAACACCAGUGGCGAAGGCGGCCCGCUGGGCAGUGGCUGACGCUGAAGCGCGACAGCGUGGGGAGCAAACAGG
rnacentral:rRNA from 1 species